GAACCCGGAAGCUAAGCCUGUCUGCGCCGAUGGUACUGCACUCGACAGGGUGUGGGAGAGUAGGACGCCGCCGAAC
rnacentral:rRNA from 1 species